rnacentral:rRNA from 1 species
ACAGUGGACGCGAGCAUCUGUGGCCAAGUUUUUAAGGGCGCACGGUGGAUGCCUUGGCACCAGGAACCGAUGAAGGACGUGGGAGGCCACGAUAGUCCCCGGGGAGCCGUCAACCAGGCUUUGAUCCGGGGGUUUCCGAAUGGGGAAACCCGGCAGUCGUCAUGGGCUGUCACCCAUACCUGAACACAUAGGGUAUGUGGAGGGAACGAGGGGAAGUGAAACAUCUCAGUACCCUCAGGAAGAGAAAACAACCGUGAUUCCGGGAGUAGUGGCGAGCGAAACCGGAUGAGGCCAAACCGUAUGCGUGUGAUACCCGGCAGGGGUUGCGCAUGCGGGGUUGUGGGAUCUCUCUUCUGUCGUCUGCCGGCGACAGGACGAGUCAGAAACCGUUGGUGUAGGCGAAGGACAUGCGAAAGGUCCGGCGUAGAGGGUAAGACCCCCGUAGCUGAAACAUCAACGGCUCGUUUGAGAGACACCCAAGUAGCACGGGGCCCGAGAAAUCCCGUGUGAAUCUGGCGGGACCACCCGCUAAGCCUAAAUAUUCCCUGGUGACCGAUAGCGGAUAGUACCGUGAGGGAAUGGUGAAAAGUACCGCGGGAGCGGAGUGAAAUAGUACCUGAAACCGUGUGCCUACAAGCCGUGGGAGCGUCGCUGGCAGCACUUGUGCUGUCAGUCGUGACUGCGUGCCUUUUGAAGAAUGAGCCUGCGAGUUAGCGGUGUGUAGCGAGGUUAACCCGUGUGGGGAAGCCGUAGCGAAAGCGAGUCCGAACAGGGCGUUUGAGUUGCACGCUCUAGACCCGAAGCGGAGUGAUCUAGCCAUGGGCAGGUUGAAGCGGCUGUAAGAGGUCGUGGAGGACCGAACCCACCAGGGUUGAAAACCUGGGGGAUGACCUGUGGUUAGGGGUGAAAGGCCAAUCAAACUCCGUGAUAGCUGGUUCUCCCCGAAAUGCAUUUAGGUGCAGCGUCGUGUGUUUCUUGCCGGAGGUAGAGCACUGGAUAGGCGAUGGGCCCUACCGGGUUACUGACCUUAGCCAAACUCCGAAUGCCGGUAAGUGAGAGCGCGGCAGUGAGACUGUGGGGGAUAAGCUCCAUGGUCGAGAGGGAAACAGCCCAGAGCAUCGACUAAGGCCCCUAAGCGUACGCUAAGUGGGAAAGGAUGUGGAGUCGCAGAGACAACCAGGAGGUUGGCUUAGAAGCAGCCACCCUUGAAAGAGUGCGUAAUAGCUCACUGGUCAAGUGAUUCCGCGCCGACAAUGUAGCGGGGCUCAAGCGUACCGCCGAAGUCGUGUCAUUCCAGCAUGUACCCCCAACGGGGGCUGGGAUGGGUAGGGGAGCGUCGUGUGCCGGGUGAAGCUGCAGCGGAAGCUAGUGGUGGACGGUUCACGAGUGAGAAUGCAGGCAUGAGUAGCGAUACACACGUGAGAAACGUGUGCGCCGAUUGACUAAGGGUUCCUGGGUCAAGCUGAUCUGCCCAGGGUAAGUCGGGACCUAAGGCGAGGCCGACAGGCGUAGUCGAUGGACAACCGGUUGAUAUUCCGGUACCCGCUUUGAAACGCCCAAUAUCGA